GGCCAGCAAACAGAAUCAAUUAAAUAACCACUGUACUUGAAACACUCCUAAGAUACCAAAUGAUUAAUUGAUUCAAGAAAUAGGUUAGCUACUGGUUCACAAUACUAUGACUUAAUAUAAUUUUUAUCAAGAUUUUAAUGGUCUCAUGCACAUCCUAAUUCAAUCAAUUACAAUGAUGCACUAUUAUAGUUGUAUCUUAAUAAAUAUAACAUCUAAUCAUGGCAUCUAAUCAUAUCUCUAAGAUAUGAAAUCAUAAUCAUACAAUAUGAUUAUAUCAUAGCAUAUCAUAUGCAUAAAAAGAAAAUACUCUUUUCAUGCUUUUUCUUUUUGGGACAUCACAGUGGCACCCCUACACGCCAUAAGAGUACCCUAUGGAUUAGGAAGAGAGAUCUAUGAACCCUACUUGCUUUUA
rnacentral:lncRNA from 1 species